ACGGGGGGAGCAAGCGUUGUUCGGAAUCACUGGGCGUAAAGGGCGUGUAGGCGGCCAGGUAAGUGAGAUGUGAAAUUCCCCGGCUCACCCGGGGACCUGCAUCUCAUACUGCUUGGCUUGAGUACGGGAGAGGAUGUGGGAAUUCCUGGUGUAGCGGUGAAAUGCGUAGAUAUCAGGAGGAACACCGGUGGCGAAAGCGCACAUCUGGCCCGAUACUGACGCUGAGGCGCGAAAGCUAGGGGAGCAAACGGGA
rnacentral:rRNA from 1 species